rnacentral:tRNA from 1 species
AUUUAAGUAGUUUAAUUAAAAUAUUGAUUUGUGGUGUCAAUGAUAUGAAAUUUCAUCUUAGAUC